AGGUGCGAUCAUACCAAUACUAGUGCAUUGGAUCUCAUCAGAACUCCACAACACGUACUUGGGGUGAUCAUAGUAGUAUUAAGAUGGGUGACCUUCCGAGAAUUGAAGUAGUAAGCACUGU
rnacentral:rRNA from 1 species